rnacentral:lncRNA from 1 species
AGACAAGGAAACAUUGAUCGGUCCUCUACUUCGUGUGGAUACCCGUAGAGGCCGGACGUUUGAACGGCUUCAAGCGAACCCUCUUCCAAAACCACGAAUUCAGAUUUGCGGUGAUCAUCUACCCGCGCAAGGUGAAGAUUUGAUCUUCCUAAUAGUUUUAAAAGUUUUAAUUCUUACCUAAUUACGAAAGGUCUCGAAACAACGUUCAUGUGAUGAACGUCGAUCCCGCACAUGCCUCUUCCGCUGCCAUCUGAUUUAAUUUUUGAAAUAUCAGCGGCAUGGGCGGGUUCCCAACAUGUAUACUUUGAGCAAAUAAGAUAUCACAAAUUCUUCUUUUUGAUGCAUAGAUUUAUCACUAUUACUUUCUAUCAAAAAGUUACUCAAACUUUUAUAUCAUGCUUUUGAUGCUUGUUCCAAAUCAUAUAUUGCUUUAUCAUAUUUGUAAUGAGUGUUUUCAAAUAUGGUGGUUAUUUAACAUAUAUCUUCUUUAAUAAAGUAAGCACAUAGGAGUCCAUUCU